rnacentral:lncRNA from 1 species
UGUAUUACAGCAUUAUAUAUAGAAGCAAAAUGCAUAUGAACAAUAGUACAAAGGCUGGAGGGAAGAAAAUUGAAGUGUACUAUAGUAAGGUAUUUAGACCAUAUGUAAAGUGGUAUAAAUGCUACUUGAGGUUAGGCUGUGAUAAAUUUAAGAUGAAUACUAUAAACCUUAUAAGCAAAUAAUAGAUAAAAUGAGGUAAUAAAAAAUACCCAAUAAAAAUAGAAAAGUAGAAUAAAAGAGGUAUCCAUGAAACGCAUUUAAAAACUCAAUAAAUAGGGGGGAAUGGAAAACUCUUCUUUACUUCAAAAAAGCCAUCUAAUAAAUGUAGAAAGAAGAUGAAAUUUAGAAAAAAAAAUCACCAUUUACAACUAUUAUAGCAAUAAUUGUUUCAGGUAAGAAUUAUGGAUGAAUAUUAAACUAGUGCAUGAAAGUUUCAGGAAAGAAAUAUACAUAGUCUCAAAAUAUCUGCAAGAUAAUUAUUGAUUACAAAGAAAACAAGCAACUUUGCAGUGGAGAAACCUUAUAGAUACCACUUGAAAUAAGUAAGCAAAGUCAACACUACCAGUAAUGGGUAGUCAUACCACACCAUCACAGAACUCCUGAUAUGAGGUACUAUGGCAAAUACAACAUUCCUUCUGUAAUAUUCCUGCUAAAAGUGCAUAACUUGAGUUUAUUCAAUAGUUGGAACAUUAGACAAACCCAAAUAAAGGUACAAUGUAAAAUAAAGUGAUCUACACUUUUGAAAAAUCCGAAGACAGACUGAAGUACUGUUUCCAAUCAAAGAGAAUGUAUGGUGACAAUUAUAUGUUAAGGCAUGAUGCUGUAUUUUCUGUUGCUGUAGAAAGACACAGGGGCAAGUGGCAAAAUCUGAAUGUCUGAUAACUGGAUUAUGGUAAUACAAAAGACUAAAGAAUUAGCUUGUUUUUAAAGACAAAAAUAUAAAGGGGGAGGAGAAAAGGAAAAGGAUGAGGGGAAGAGAGUGAGGAGAGAGACAAAGGAAGGAAGGAGAAAAAAAAGGAAGAAGAGAAAGGGGGGGGAAAGGAACAGAAGGUGUAGAGGAGAGGGGAACAUGAGAGUUAGGGAUAAAGUAAAUGCAGUAAAAUGUUAAUAUUGGGGGGAUCUUGUUGAAGGAUAUUGUGUAGUAAAGAAUUCGGCCUUGCUUAAAGAGAGAAAUUGCUUUUACCUUCACUUUCAUGGAGGUACUCUAUGUUGUAACUGGUGGGAGUGUCUGCUUAGGGCAGCAAACUGGGCUUACUAAAAAAGACCUACCAUGUGAUUUAGGAUGGGAGCUUUGGGUUAUAUAUUAUCAGUCCAACUGCAACAAUAAUGUGGGCAAUCAAAUCAUCUUGCCUACAUAAUGAAGUUACAAUAAAAAUUCUGGAAGCCAAAGCUCGAGUGAGCUUCUCGGACUGGCAACACUCCUUGCAGAUGGAUGCCAGGAUGGUAACGCAACCUGACGACAAUAAAAACUUUGCAUUCUGAACCCUCACAGACUUUGCCCUACGCAUCUCCCUUAGGUCCAUCACAAUUUGUAUCAUUUCCUUGUAAUAAACUAUAACUGGAAAUAUAACACGUUUCAGUGAGUUCUGAGGUUUUCGAGAGAAUUUCUGAACUUGAGGGUAUUUCGGGAACCCUCCCCCACAACCUCCAAACCUGCAGUUGGUGUCAGAAGUGACAGUGGUCUUGUGCGGGCUCUUUCAUUAAACUCUGUAGUUGAACCUAACUGCUUGAAGUUGGGGUUAGAAGUCUUGAGCAGACCUGGUAGUCUGGAGGACAAAGCUCUCAACUUUGCAGACUGGCUAUGGGAGUAGGGACAGAGACAUUAUUUUUAAACUUUUCCUCUAAUAAUUUUCAUGAUUAAAAUUUCAUUUGAAAUUAAUUUCAAUGUGACAAACCGGAAUUACAUAACAAUUUAAAAGAAAAAAGGAGAAAAAAAAAUGUAACUGGGUCACGAUGCUGUACAGUAGAAAAAAAAACUGUAUUGGGGAAAUAAUGAUAAAAAAAUUAAUAAGAAAAAUAAACAGCAUCCAACACAACAAAUAUAAUUUUCUUUCUGCAUAUUCUCUUGAAUUCUACUGCCCUAGUUAUCCAAGUUCUUAAGCUCCUGAAAAAGAUAAAAAUGACUUUUCAGAGCUUCUUGAUUCCUGCUAACCAUAAGGCUUUUUCUUCCAUUAAGAGCACAAAAGCACUAGUUAGUGUUAUUUAGUCAACCAAGAACUUUUAAUGUCUCCCAGAGUAGCAAAAAAGUGAAACAUUUGAGGGGAUUUGUAAAAUUCUGUUUCCUUUUAUUUAUUUUUUUUAAUUUUGUCUCUUUUUUUUUUUUUUUUUGCCAUUUCUUGGGCUGCUCCUGUGGCAUAUGGAAGUUCCCAGGCUAGGGGUCCAAUAGCUANCGGCCCACGCCACAGCCACAGCAACACGGGAUCCGAGCCACAUCUGCAACCUACACCACAGCUCAUGGUAACGCUGGAUCCUUAACCCACUGGGUGAGGCCAGGGAUCGAACCCGCAACCUCAUGGUUCCUAGUUGGAUUUGUUAAUCACUGUGCCACGACGGGAACGCCUCUGUUUCCUUUUAAAUAUAAGUGCUAAAAGUGCCUCCUUCAGUGAAUUAUCAUAACCUCUGCUUAGCUAUCAGUGCACAUACUCCUUCAAGCAAAUCUCCUUCAGAAUUUAUUCUUAUAAGUUCCAAUCUAUGAUUCCUCAAAAAAUGUUUCUAUAAGAACACAUGGCCAAGUAACUAGAUGUUACUAAUUCUUGAUUUGGUAGAAAUAUUUAUAUGCAAUAAAAUACAAAACCAAUUUUUGGUUAUGUUGGUACAUUUAAAUGUUAACGUUGCCCAAGUAAGUAGAAACACAAUUCAGAAACUUUCCUGGGAAACCAUCAAAAAUUUAAAAAUUGGGAGUUCUCUUGUGGUGCAGGGGGUUAAGGAUCUGGUGUUGUCAACUGCAGUGUUAUGGGUCGCUGCUGUGGUGUGGGUUCAGUUCUUGGCCUGGGAACUUCCACAUGCCAUGGGUGUAGCCAAAAAAAAAAAAAAAA